AAACUCAAAGGAAUUGACGGGGGCCCGCACAAGCGGUGGAGCAUGUGGUUUAAUUCGAAGCAACGCGAAGAACCUUACCAGGUCUUGACAUCCUUUGACCACUCUAGAGAUAGAGCUUCCCCUUCGGGGGCAAAGUGACAGGUGGUGCAUGGUUGUCGUCAGCUCGUGUCGUGAGAUGUUGGGUUAAGUCCCGCAACGAGCGCAACCCUUAUUGUUAGUUGCCAUCAUUCAGUUGGGCACUCUAGCAAGACUGCCGGUGACAAACCGGAGGAAGGUGGGGAUGACGUCAAAUCAUCAUGCCCCUUAUGACCUGGGCUACACACGUGCUACAAUGGGAAGUACAACGAGUUGCGAAGUCGCGAGGCUAAGCUAAUCUCUUAAAGCUUCUCUCAGUUCGGAUUGCAGGCUGCAACUCGCCUGCAUGAAGCCGGAAUCGCUAGUAAUCGCGGAUCAGCACGCCGCGGUGAAUACGUUCCCGGGCCUUGUACACACCGCCCGU
rnacentral:rRNA from 1 species